GACCUUCACCUCCACAGCCUGCAGCCCAUGACCUUCACCUCCACAACCUGCUCUCCCUGACCUUCACCUCCACAGCCUGCAGCCCAUGACCUUCACCUCCACGACCUGCUCUCCCUGACCUUCACCUCCACGACCUGCUCUCCCUGACCUUCACCUCCACGACCUGCUCUCCCUGACCUUCACCUCCACGGCCUGCCCUCCCUGACUUCCUCACUCAGCGCCACCUUCACAGUCCGACACAGUGGCUUCAUAAUCGUCUGAACCAAGCUAUUCAAUCUUCUGCGUACACUUCACAAUGGUACGUGUGUGUUGUUUAUCCUCGCAUCGACCAACUAUUCAGGCGUUCAGAGGCAACUUUUCAAACUAAAAUUCAAAGACAUUUCGGCAUUACGGUCAAUUCUAUUAACAUGUGCCUCGGAAAAGUGCAGGAACGCCAAACUUCAAUCGCACUUUUCUCAUUAACUUGUGCGUGUGUGUUGUUUAUCCUCGCAUCGACCAACUAUUCAGGCGUUCAGAGGCAACUUUUCAAACUAAAAUUCAAAGACAUUUCGGCAUUACGGUCAAUUCUAUUAACAUGUGCCUCGGAAAAGUGCAGAAACGCCAAACUUCAAUCGCACUUUUCUCAUUUUCUUGUGCAUGUGUGUUGUUUAUCCUCGCAUCGACCAACUAUUCAGGUGUUCAGAGGCAACUUUUCAAACUAAAAUUCAAAGACGUUUCAGCAUUACGGUAAAUUUUUUUAACAUGUGCCUCGGAAAACUGCAGGAACACCAAACUUCAACCGCACUUUUCUCAUUUUCUUGUGCAUGUGUGUUGUUUACCUCUUUCUAGCAGGGAGCGCCACAGUCAGACCUCACCGAAGCACUAUACCGCAAUCAUUAUAGUCAUUCUGUGUACGUACAAUCGUCGCCCCAUUCAUCAUCUCGCCAGCUACCUCGUUCUCUCUCCCUUCUCCUCUCUCUCUCUACCUCGCUAACAUGGUCUAAGUUUCCGUACUGGACAUUUAUAUACCAAAGCACUAUACCGCAAUCAUUAUAGUCAUUCCGCGUACGUACAAUGAUCCUCCCCUUAAUCAUCUCGCCAGUUGCCUCGUUCUCUCUCCCCUCUCCUCUCUCUCUCUACCUCGCUAACAAGGUCUAAGUUUAUGUACUGGACAUUUAUUUAUUUAGUGCUGUUAUGCCAUUAAUAUACACAUCAAAGAGUCACAGUCUUAAGAAGUAAAAAGCCCCUCACUCGCUAUGCAUAAAAUUCUGAGAAAGGCACUAGCAUAUAUAUUUUUUUUUUGCAAAGUGCGUGUCGUUUCUGACCACUCACGCACUCGGAUGGCACACGCGGGACCUCUGCUGGCCGUGUCUCUCUCCCUGGCUGUGACCGAGACCUCCGAGAACGUCAUGUGAGAAAUUUAUGUGAGAAGAUGGAGGCUUAACGAGAAAUGUCUUCAACCAGUAACAAAGCAACCCAAUAAAUGUAAAAGUAUAUCCUAGAAAAUCCCAAAUCUCUCUCUCUCUCUCUCUCACUGUGAUCAGCUGGCUCUUAAACGCCUUCUAAGAAUUAUAUAUGAGGAGUUAAGGAUACACAACAAAGGCUCACCCAAAAACAGCUUCAACCAGUAACAAAGCAACCCAAGAAAUGUAAAAGUAUAUCCUAGAAGAUCACGUCUCUCCCUCUCUCUCUCUCACUGUGAUCAGCUGGCUCUUAAACGCCCUCUAAAAAUUUUAUAUGAGAAGUUACGGAUACACAACAAAGGCUCAACCAAAAACAGCUUCAACCAGUAACAAAGCAACCCAAGAAAUGUAAAAAUAUAUCCCUGAAAACUGCAUCUCUCUCUCUUAAGAUGUGACUGAGAGACUGGCUUUUAUACGCCCUCUAAGAAUUAUAUAUGAAAAGUUAAGGAUACGAAUCAAAGGCUCAACCAAAAACAGCUUCAACCAGUAACAAAUCAACCCAAUAAAUGUAUAAAUAUAUCCUAGAAAAUCACGUCUUUCUCUCUCUUACUGUGGCCGAGAGACUGGUUUUUAUACAUUUUUUUUUUUCCAUUGUGCCGAAGAAGCGUCAAACUAACACCACCAGGGUCAUAAAACUACCCCUGGAAAGGCCCUAAAACACUAGUGAAAGUUAAAUGUGUGUGUGCUUGGGUGCUGAAGUGCUUAUGAAUAUGACCCCUUAUCCCAUGGCUGCAACUCGGACUAGAACAGUGCUAUCUGACCCUAAGGAAACACACUCGUUCUUUCACCUCAACCUUCUCGUGAGUGUAGAGUACCGAGAGGCUCCCAUCACUCACAGGCACAGGGAGAGGCAGGGUUCGAGAGGUCCCCGAGUGGUGGUGUCGACACUGCUAUCUUAUUAUGUAACGAUUAAGUCCUCACAGUAUCAUGAUACAUAUAUAUAUACAAUCAUCCCUCAAAUAGUACAGUUUCCAAUAGUACGGUUUUGGUUUUAUGUGGAUUUUCUAAGAAGAUUUUUCAGGAUUUUUAAAUUUCCCAACAAGCAGGAAAUUCAAAAACCCUAAAAUAUCUUCUAUGACAAUCCGUAUAAAACUGAAACUAAACUAUUGGAAACCGUACUAUUUGAGGGAUGAUUGUACCUCUUUAGAAAUUAUUAUAAAUUCAGGCGACUCACACACACUCACACGUACACACACAUAUAAUUCUCCGGCCGCACACAACACAUGAUGCACCCCAAAGCAACUCCUUCCUUCAAUAUCUAUCUUAUCUGUUUCUUUUUUUUUUUUUACUCUUGGCCAGACACUCCAUAGUUGAUAAGUAAAAAAUCCUUGCUAUUUGUUUUCAUACUAAUCCUGAAUUGCACUUUUUGAGACAUUUUUCCUGAUCUUUCUUUCCUUCUAUCUCUUUCCUUUAAUAUCUAUCUUCUCUAAGUCUCUUUAUUUACUCUUAAUCAGACACUUUGUUGCUCAUAAAAAAAACUUGCUAUUUGAUUUCAUACUAAUCCUGAAUCGCACUUUUUGAGACAUAUUUCCUGAUCUUUCUUUCCUUCUAUCUCUUUCUUUUAAUAUAUGUCUUUCCUAUGUCUUUUUUUACCCUUGAUCAGACAUUUACUAGUUCAUAAAAAAGGAAAAAAACAACAA